rnacentral:rRNA from 1 species
AGCACGUAGGUGGGUUUGUAAGUCAGAUGUGAAAGCCUUCUGUUCAACGGAAGAAUUGCAUCUGAAACUACAAACCUUGAGUAUAGGAGGGGAGAAUGGAACUUCUGGUGGAGCGGUGAAAUGCGUAGAUAUCAGAAGGAACGCCGGCGGCGAAAGCGAUUCUCUGGCCUAUUACUGACACUCAGUGUGCGAAAGCUAGGGGAGCAAACGGGAUUAGAUACCCCGGUAGUCCUAGCCGUAAACGAUGGGCACUAAGUAGAGGGGUUUU